AUACGGAGGGUGCAAGCGUUGUUCGGAAUCACGGGGCGUAAAGGGCGCGCAGGCGGUUUGGUAAGUCAGAUGUGAAAGCCCACGGCUCAACCGUGGAAGUGCAUUUGAAACUGCCAGACUUGAGUACCAGAGGGGAAAGUGGAAUUCCCGGUGUAGAGGUGAAAUUCGUAGAUAUCGGGAGGAAUACCGGUGGCGAAGGCGACUUUCUGGCUGGAUACUGACGCUGAGGCGCGAAAGCGUGGGGAGCAAACAGGAUUAGAUACCCAGUAGUCC
rnacentral:rRNA from 1 species